AUUGAACGCUGGCGGCAUGCCUUACACAUGCAAGUCGAACGGCAGCACGGGAGCAAUCCUGGUGGCGAGUGGCGAACGGGUGAGUAAUAUAUCGGAACGUGCCCAGUCGUGGGGAUAACGUAGCGAAAGCUACGCUAAUACCGCAUACGAUCUAUGGAUGAAAGCGGGGGAUCGCAAGACCUCGCGCGAUUGGAGCGGCCGAUAUCAGAGUAGGUAGUUGGUGAGGUAAAGGCUCACCAAGCCGACGAUCUGUAGCUGGUCUGAGAGGACGACCAGCCACACUGGGACUGAGACACGGCCCAGACUCCUACGGGAGGCAGCAGUGGGGAAUUUUUGGACAAUGGGCGCAAGCCUGAUCCAGCAAUGCCGCGUGCAGGAUGAAGGCC
rnacentral:rRNA from 1 species